AUUAAAAGUAAAAAAGAGAAGAAAUUAUUACAUUAGUAACCGUGUAACCACAUUUUGUUAUUAAUAAAAAAAAUUUAAGUGUGAAUUCAACUUUUUAAAUUUGUUUUGAAAUUUUUACGUUAAAAUUAUUUUUCAAACGUUAAAAAUUUUUUGUACAAACACGAUCUGUUUUCAGCAGAGAAAAAGAGAAAACUUACAGAAGUUAAGGAAUUUUAAAAAAUAUUACCAAAUAUAUUUCAAAGAGCAACAAGAGAGAGAUAUAUAUUUCGUUUACGAGUCGAGAAAAGAGGAUGGAAUGUUGUGGCAAGCAAAUAUUUAUCAAUAUAAAAAUAUCUGUAGUAAACAAGAUUUAGUCAAUAUGAUAUGUAAAAUACGGAAUACGGCUUGGUUCGAUCAAUCAAUCUUACGUUAAAUUUAAAGCAAUCUAGACAAUCAUACAGAAGGCCAAAAAUUUGUCAAAUGCUUUCGUAAAGCUGUGGGUUGAGAGAGCGGGCGAGCCAUCGAGCGAGCGAGAGAUUUUUGAUCAAUCAAUGUAAGAGCAUUUUUAAUAAAAAUCGGUAAAACAUAAGUUCGUGGAAAAUAUACAACAUUUCUAUAAAUCAAGAAAUUAUUAAUCCAAUUCUUUUUUAUUAUUUUUUUUUCAUAAACUAGAGUAAUUUGUGUAUUUUAUGUAUGCUUUACUAUGAUAAA
rnacentral:sRNA from 1 species